AUUGAACGCUGGCGGCAGGCUUAACACAUGCAAGUCGAGCGGGGGAAGGUAGCUUGCUACCGGACCUAGCGGCGGACGGGUGAGUAAUGCUUAGGAAUCUGCCUAUUAGUGGGGGACAACAUCUCGAAAGGGAUGCUAAUACCGCGUACGACCUACGGGAGAAAGCAGGGGAUCUUCGGACCUUGCGCUAAUAGAUGAGCCUAAGUCGGAUUAGCUAGUUGGUGGGGUAAAGGCCUACCAAGGCGACGAUCUGUAGCGGGUCUGAGAGGAUGAUCCGCCACACUGGGACUGAGACACGGCCCAGACUCCUACGGGAGGCAGCAGUGGGGAAUAUUGGACAAUGGGGGGAACCCUGAUCCAGCCAUGCCGCGUGUGUGAAGAAGGCCUUAUGGUUGUAAAGCACUUUAAGCGAGGAGGAGGCUACUUUAGUUAAUACCUAGAGAUAGUGGACGUUACUCGCAGAAUAAACACCGGCUAACUCUGUGCCAGCCGCCGCGGUAA
rnacentral:rRNA from 1 species